rnacentral:rRNA from 1 species
CCUACGGGAGGCAGCAGUGAGGAAUAUUGGUCAAUGGGCGGGAGCCUGAACCAGCCAAGCCGCGUGAGGGAAGAAGGUACAGCGUAUCGUAAACCUCUUUUGUCAGGGAACAAAGGCGGGGACUAGUCCCCGGAUGAGGGUACCUGAAGAAAAAGCAUCGGCUAACUCCGUGCCAGCAGCCGCGGUAAUACGGAGGAUGCGAGCGUGAUCCGGAUUUAUGGGGUUUAAAGGGUGCGCAGGCGGCCUGUUAAGUCAGCGGUAAAAGCCCGGGGCUCAACCCCGGCGAGCCGUUGAAACUGGCGGGCUGGAGUUGGAGAGAAGUACGCGGAAUGCGCGGUGUAGCGGUGAAAUGCUUAGAUAGCGCGCAGAACCCCGAUUGCGAAGGCAGCGUACCGGCUCCACACUGACGCUGAGGCACGAAAGCGUGGGUAUCGAACAGGAUUAGAUACCCGAGUAGUC